rnacentral:rRNA from 1 species
CGGAACGGGUGAGUAACGCGUGAGGAACCUGCCUCAAAGAGGGGACAACAGUUGGAAACGACUGCUAAUACCGCAUAAGCCCACGGCUCGGCAUCGAGCAGAGGGAAAAGGAGCAAUCCGCUUUGAGAUGGCCUCGCGUCCGAUUAGCUAGUUGGUGAGGUAACGGCCCACCAAGGCGACGAUCGGUAGCCGGACUGAGAGGUUGAACGGCCACAUUGGGACUGAGACACGGCCCAG